CCUACGGGCGGCAGCAGUGGGGAAUAUUGGACAAUGGGCGAAAGCCUGAUCCAGCAAUGCCGCGUGAGUGAUGAAGGCCUUAGGGUUGUAAAGCUCUUUUACCAGGGAUGAUAAUGACAGUACCUGGAGAAUAAGCUCCGGCUAACUCCGUGCCAGCAGCCGCGGUAAUACGGAGGGAGCUAGCGUUGUUCGGAAUUACUGGGCGUAAAGCGCACGUAGGCGGCCAUUCAAGUCAGAGGUGAAAGCCCGGGGCUCAACCCCGGAACUGCCUUUGAAACUAGAUGGCUUGAAUCUUGGAGAGGCGAGUGGAAUUCCGAGUGUAGAGGUGAAAUUCGUAGAUAUUCGGAAGAACACCAGUGGCGAAGGCGACUCGCUGGACAAGUAUUGACGCUGAGGUGCGAAAGCGUGGGGAGCAAACAGGAUUAGAUACCCCAGUAGUC
rnacentral:rRNA from 1 species